UACGGAGGGUGCGAGCGUUGUCCGGAAUCACUGGGCGUAAAGGGCGCGUAGGUGGCUCAUGAAGGCUGUGGUGAAAGUCCGGGGCUCAACCUCGGAUCGGCCGUGGCGACUCGUGGGCUGGAGCACUGUAGAGGCGGGUGGAAUUCCGGGUGUAGCGGUGGAAUGCGUAGAGAUCCGGAAGAACACCAGUGGCGAAGGCGGCCCGCUGGGCAGUGGCUGACGCUGAAGCGCGACAGCGUGGGGAGCAAACAGG
rnacentral:rRNA from 1 species